GACGUAGGGCGCGAGCGUUGUCCGGAUUUAUUGGGCGUAAAGAGCUCGUAGGCGGCUUGUCGCGUCAACUGUGAAAACCCGUGGCUCAACCAUGUGGUCUGCAGUCGAUACGGGCAGGCUAGAAUUCGGUAGGGGAGACUGGAAUUCCUGGUGUAGCGGUGAAAUGCGCAGAUAUCAGGAGGAACACCGAUGGCGAAGGCAGGUCUCUGGGCAUUAACUGACGCUGAGGAGCGAAAGCAUGGGGAGCGAACAGG
rnacentral:rRNA from 1 species